rnacentral:rRNA from 1 species
CACGUAGGCACCAAGCGUUGUCCGGAUUUAUUGGGCGUAAAGAGCUCGUAGGCGGUUCGGUAAGUCGGGUGUGAAAACUCUGGGCUCAACCCAGAGCCGCCACCCGAUACUGCUGUGACUCGAGUGCGGUAGGGGAGCGGGGAAUUCCUGGUGUAGCGGUGAAAUGCGCAGAUAUCAGGAGGAACACCAGUGGCGAAGGCGCCGCUCUGGGCCGUGACUGACGCUGAGGAGCGAAAGCGUGGGGAGCGAACAGG